rnacentral:rRNA from 1 species
CCGCACGGGUGAGUAACGCGUAUGCAACUUACCUAUCAGAGGGGGAUAACCCGGCGAAAGUCGGACUAAUACCGCAUGAAGCAGGGGCCCCGCAUGGGGAUAUUUGCUAAAGAUUCAUCGCUGAUAGAUAGGCAUGCGUUCCAUUAGGCAGUUGGCGGGGUAACGGCCCACCGAACCGACGAUGGAUAGGGGUUCUGAGAGGAAGGUCCCCCACAUUGGUACUGAGACACGGACCAA